UAGGGAAUCUUCGGCAAUGGGGGCAACCCUGACCGAGCAACGCCGCGUGAGUGAAGAAGGUUUUCGGAUCGUAAAGCUCUGUUGUAAGAGAAGAACGUGUGUGAGAGUGGAAAGUUCACACAGUGACGGUAACUUACCAGAAAGGGACGGCUAACUACGUGCCAGCAGCCGCGGUAAUACGUAGGUCCCGAGCUUUGUCCGGAUUUAUUGGGCGUAAAGCGAGCGAAGGCGGUUUAAUAAGUCUGAAGUUAAAGGAAGUGGCUUAACCAUUGUUCGCUUGGGAAACUGUUAAACUUGAGUGCAGAAGGGGAGAGUGGAAUUCCAUGUGUAGCGGUGAAAUGCGUAGAUAUAUGGAGGAACACCGGUGGCGAAAGCGGCUCUCUGGUCUGUAACUGACGCUGAGGCUCGAAAGCGUGGGGAGCAAACAGG
rnacentral:rRNA from 1 species